GUAAUUUCAGCAGUUUUAUUAAAAAGUUCUCCAGUUAGCUGGUUAGUGCGAGAGACUCUUGAAGCAGCUGUGGAUUUCCAGGAUGCAGUAGUGAGACUGGCCAAGGUGCCGAUAAUCACAGAUGUCUAUUACAUUUUGGGUGGUGUUCAUGCUGGUGAGGGUGUGGUCAUCACCAGAGACCGGAGCGGGUCAGCUGACAUCUGGCCUCUGGAUCCACUUCAUGGAAACUGGUAUAGAGUUGAAACCAAUUAUGACCACUGGCUUCCCGCCCCUAAACAGGAUGACCGAAGGCAAGCAC